GAUGAAGAACGUAGUGAAAUGCGAUAAGUAAUGUGAAUUGCAGAAUUCAGUGAAUCAUCGAAUCUUUGAACGCACCUUGCGCUCCUUGGUAUUCCGAGGAGCAUGCCUGUUUGAGUGUCAUGAAAUUCUCAACCUUUCUGGCUUUUGCUAGUCAGGCUUGGAUUAUGGGAGCUGCUGGCUUUUGAAGUCGGCUCUUCUUAAAUGUAUUAGCAAGAUCAUUGCUGCUCAUCAUUGGUAUGAUAAUUAUCUAUAUCAUUGAGAGUCAGUUUCCUUUAUUGGAAGAUUUUGCUCCUAACGGUCUUUAGCAAGACAACAUUUGACGAUUUUGACCUCAAAUCAGGUAGGACUACCCGCUGAACUUAAGCAUAUCAAUAAGCGGAGGA
rnacentral:misc_RNA from 1 species